ACCGAUGACCAAAUCACCAUAAAUUCAGCCCAUCUCAUGAGAUCUCAGCAAACUAAGCUGGAUUGCGCCUGGUUAGUACUUGGGACGAGAGACAGUGUGGGGAAUACCAGGCGUUGCAGUU
rnacentral:rRNA from 1 species